UUUUUUUUAGCAUCCAUUGGGCUGGAUAUCAUUAGUUACAUGACAACCCUGAAGGAGGCAUCAGAAGGAAGCAUGUCAGGAGUGAGAGUGCUGCUGUUGGUGCUGCUGUUUGGCUGCUGGGCCCUGGUGUCUAACUCCCCUGUGCCGGGAUCUGAACGCAUGAAACUAUGUGGAUCGCACUUGAUAGACGCGCUGUUCUUGGUCUGUGGAGAAGAUUUGUCGUUCGGAUUUGGUGGUACAGAUAUCGUUCGUACAUGCUGUCAUGACUCUUGCACUCUGGCUGACCUGCAAAGAGCCUGCCCAUAAGAAAAUCCGGGAAAAUGCGUUAUGGGGUCCUUUGAGCCGUGUGCCUCUUGUUUCAGAUUGCCUGUACAACUCCGACAUGGAAAGCUCUGCAAUGGACACAAAAUAAAAUACAUUUCAG